rnacentral:rRNA from 1 species
GACGUAGGUGGCAAGCGUUGUCCGGAUUUAUUGGGUUUAAAGGGUGCGUAGGCGGUUUUGUAAGUCAGUGGUGAAAUACUCCAGCUUAACUGGAGGGGUGCCAAUGAUACUGCGAGACUUGAGUACAGAUGAGGUAGGCGGAAUUGACGGUGUAGCGGUGAAAUGCAUAGAUAUCGUCAAGAACACCGAUAGCGAAGGCAGCUUACUGGGCUGUAACUGACGCUGAGGCACGAAAGUGUGGGGAUCAAACAGG